rnacentral:rRNA from 1 species
GUGGGGAAUAUUCCGCAAUGGACGAAAGUCUGAUGGAGCAACGCCGCGUGAGUGAAGAAGGUCUUCGGAUCGUAAAACUCUGUUGUUAGAGAAGAACGUGCAUGAUAGUAACUGAUCAUGCAAUGACGGUAUCUAACCAGAAAGCCACGGCUAACUACGUGCCAGCAGCCGCGGUAAUACGUAGGUGGCAAGCGUUGUCCGGAUUUAUUGGGCGUAAAGGGAACGCAGGCGGUUUUUUAAGUCUGAUGUGAAAGCCUUCGGCUUAACCGAAGAAUAGCAUUGGAAACUGGAAGACUUGAGUGCAGAAGAGGAGAGUGGAAUUCCAUGUGUAGCGGUGAAAUGCGUAGAUAUAUGGAGGAACACCAGUGGCGAAAGCGGCUCUCUGGUCUGUAACUGACGCUGAGGUUCGAAAGCGUGGGUAGCAAACAGGAUUAGAUACCCGUGUAGUCC